UCAUAGUCCCUGAUAGCUCAACAUGUAGAGCAUUACCAACUCUUGUGUUCUCCCCAAAACAUAAGAGGAAAUUUGAAUCAUGGUUUCUGAAAAUACAUCCACAAGCAGAAGAUUGAUUAGUUGAAGACCUAUCAAUGUUGCAUUUAACCCACUGAGGAAUAGGAGGUCUCCAAAUGACUUCAAUGAUCUUGGAAGCUUUGGGAGGAUGAAGAGUAACAUUGAGUUUCUUUAU
rnacentral:lncRNA from 1 species